rnacentral:rRNA from 1 species
AUCAACUUUCGAUGGUAGGAUAGAGGCCUACCAUGGUGGUAACGGGUAACGGGGUGUUAGGGCACGGCACCGGAGAGGGAGCCUGAGAAACGGCUACCACAUCCAAGGAUGGCAGCAGGCGCGCAAAUUACCCAAUCCCGGCACGGGGAGGUAGUGACAAUAAAUAACAAUACGGGGUUCUUUCGGAUCUCGUAAUUGGAAUGAGUACAAUUUAAAUCUCUUAACGAGGAACAAUUGGAGGGCAAGUCUGGUGCCAGCAGCCGCGGUAAUUCCAGCUCCAAUAGCGUAUAUUAAAGUUGUUGCAGUUAAAAAGCUCGUAGUUGAAUUUCGGGGUUAGCAGGUCGGUCGUGCCAUCGGUAUGAACUGGUCUCGCUGAUCCCUCCCUCUUGACGAACUGUGAUGCCAUUAAUUUGGUGUCGCAGGGAAUCAGGACUGUUACUUUGAAAAAAUUAGAGUGUUUAAAGCAGGCUCACGCUUGAAUACAUUAGCAUGGAAUAAUGAAAUAGGACGUUUGAUCCUAUUUUGUUGGUUUCUAGGAUUGACGUAAUGAUUAAUAGGGAUAGUUGGGGGCAUUAGUAUUCAAUUGUCAGAGGUGAAAUUCUUGGAUUUAUUGAAGACUAACUACUGCGAAAGCAUUUGCCAAGGAUGUUUUCAUUAAUCAAGAACGAAAGUUAGGGGAUCGAAGACGAUCAGAUACCGUCGUAGUCUUAACCAUAAACUAUGCCGACUAGGGAUCGGAUGAUGUUAAUUUUUUAAUGACUCAUUCGGCGCCUUACGGGAAACCAAAGUGUUUGGGUUC